rnacentral:rRNA from 1 species
UUGAAGGCUGAAAUUCGCCUUCAUGAAGCUGGAAUUGCUAGUAAUGGCAGGUCAGCAUACUGCCGUGAAUACGUUCCCGGGCCUUGUACACACCGCCCGUCACACCAUGAGAGUUGGAAAUACCCGAAGCCUGUGAGCUAACUUAAAGAGGCAGCAGUCGAAGGUAGAGCCAAUGAUUGGGGUGAAGUCGUAACAAGGUACC